rnacentral:rRNA from 1 species
GGAGGGUGCGAGCGUUGUUCGGAAUCACUGGGCGUAAAGGGCGUGUAGGCGGUCCGCUAAGUCUGAUGUGAAAGCCCGGGGCUCACCCCCGGAAGUGCAUUGGAAACUGGCGAACUCGAGUCCCGGAGAGGAGAGUGGAAUUCCUGGUGUAGCGGUGAAAUGCGUAGAUAUCAGGAGGAACACCGGUGGCGAAGGCGGCUCUCUGGACGGUGACUGACGCUGAGACGCGAAAGCGUGGGGAGCAAACAGGAUUAGAUACCCUGGUAGUCCACGCUGUAAACGAUGAGCACUAGGUGUCGUGGGUAUUGACCCCCGCGGUGCCGCAGCUAACGUAUUAAGUGCUCCGCCUGGGGACUACGGCCGCAAGGUUA